UGCAGUCGAGCGGACAGAAGGGAGCUUGCUCCCGGAUGUUAGCGGCGGACGGGUGAGUAACACGUGGGUAACCUGCCUGUAAGACUGGGAUAACUCCGGGAAACCGGAGCUAAUACCGGAUAGUUCCUUGAACCGCAUGGUUCAAGGAUGAAAGACGGUUUCGGCUGUCACUUACAGAUGGACCCGCGGCGCAUUAGCUAGUUGGUGGGGUAAUGGCUCACCAAGGCGACGAUGCGUAGCCGACCUGAGAGGGUGAUCGGCCACACUGGGACUGAGACACGGCCCAGACUCCUACGGGAGGCAGCAGUAGGGAAUCUUCCGCAAUGGACGAAAGUCUGACGGAGCAACGCCGCGUGAGUGAUGAAGGUUUUCGGAUCGUAAAGCUCUGUUGUUAGGGAAGAACAAGUGCGAGAGUAACUGCUCGCACCUUGACGGUACCUAACCAGAAAGCCACGGCUAACUACGUGCCAGCAGCCGCGGUAAUACGUAGGUGGCAAGCGUUGUCCGGAAUUAUUGGGCGUAAAGGGCUCGCAGGCGGUUUCUUAAGUCUGAUGUGAAAGCCCCCGGCUCAACCGGGGAGGGUCAUUGGAAACUGGGAAACUUGAGUGCAGAAGAGGAGAGUGGAAUUCCACGUGUAGCGGUGAAAUGCGUAGAGAUGUGGAGGAACACCAGUGGCGAAGGCGACUCUCUGGUCUGUAACUGACGCUGAGGAGCGAAAGCGUGGGGAGCGAACAGGAUUAGAUACCCUGGUAGUCCACGCCGUAAACGAUGAGUGCUAAGUGUUAGGGGGUUUCCGCCCCUUAGUGCUGCAGCUAACGCAUUAAGCACUCCGCCUGGGGAGUACGGUCGCAAGACUGAAACUCAAAGGAAUUGACGGGGGCCCGCACAAGCGGUGGAGCAUGUGG
rnacentral:rRNA from 2 species